rnacentral:rRNA from 1 species
UACGAAGGGGGCUAGCGUUGUUCGGAAUUACUGGGCGUAAAGCGCACGUAGGCGGAUAUUUAAGUCAGGGGUGAAAUCCCAGAGCUCAACUCUGGAACUGCCUUUGAUACUGGGUAUCUUGAGUAUGGAAGAGGUAGGUGGAAUUGCGAGUGUAGAGGUGAAAUUCGUAGAUAUUCGCAGGAACACCAGUGGCGAAGGCGGCUUACUGGUCCAUAACUGACGCUGAGGUGCGAAAGCGUGGGGAGCAACAGGG